GACUAGCUGAGAGGAGGUGCAUGGCCGUCGUCAGUUCGUACUGUGAAGCAUCCUGUUAAGUCAGGCAACGAGCGAGACCCACGCCAACAGUUGCCAGCUCGUCCUCCGGGGAUGGUGGGGACACUGUUGGGACCGCCUCUGCUAAAGAGGAGGAAGGAAUGGGCAACGGUAGGUCAGCAUGCCCCGAAUUAUCUGGGCUACACGCGGGCUACAAUGGGUGGGACAAUGGGUAUCGACACCGAAAGGUGAAGGCAAUCUCCUAAACCCAUCCGUAGUUCGGAUUGUGGGCUGCAACUCGCCCACAUGAAGCUGGAAUCUGUAGUAAUCGUGUCUCAAAAUGGCACGGUGAAUAUGUCCCUGCUCCUU
rnacentral:rRNA from 1 species